rnacentral:piRNA from 1 species
UCUUCCAGUUUUCCUUUGAGAACGUGUCU